GACGAACGCUGGCGGCGUGCUUAACACAUGCAAGUCGAGCGGAAAGGCCUUCUUUCCCUUGUGUAUUGCGGGUACUCGAGUGGCGAACGGGUGAGUAACACGUGAGUGAUCUGCCCCCAACUUUUGUAUAAGCCUGGGAAACUGGGUCUAAUUCCCGAUAGGACUGCAGUGUGGGGCCUGUGGUUGAAAACGAUUUUCUAGUGGUUGGGGAUGAGCUCGCUGCCUAUCAGCUUGUGGGUGGGGUAAUGGCCUACCAAUACGGCGACUGGUAGCCGGCCUGGGAGGGUGGACGGGCACAGUGGGACGGAGAUACGGCGAAGAAGACUCCGGGAGGAAGCAGUGGGGAAGAAGGAACAAGGGGCGGAAGACUGAGGGAGGGAGGCCGAGUGGGGGAUGACGGGCUUGGGGUGGUAGACUACGGGCGACAGAGAGGAAGCCACCUGGUUGGAAGGGUGGUGACGGUAGUGGUAGAAGAAGCACCGGCUAAAUACGUG
rnacentral:rRNA from 1 species